rnacentral:lncRNA from 1 species
AUACUGCCUCAAGUCAGCUUCUCUCUAGGCGAUGUUUUCUCCAAGGCCGAUUUGUAGGAGAAACAUUCCCUGAAAAGACCAGGAGGCUCUCCCUCUUGUAAAGUGAGUCUUGUUUCAAGACUCUCCGGAGGACUUAUCCCGGGACCUUCGCACCGAAUGGGUUUUAGCAGGUCAACACUUCCAAGAAGAGCGUGAUCCGUCCAGCGCCCAGGCAGGAAGCAGACGCGCUCUUAGCAAUGAUACUUUUGAGAAGGGGUACGUUUCCCAGGCCCCUUGGACUAGAAUCCGGUGCGGGACGGCUGCUCCGAUCGUUUUCAAUGAGUGGAGAGAACGGCCUUCAGGACCGAGGGACCAGAGGGCACAGGGCUGAAAACAGUCUCCUUGCGAGAGGAACUAGAGAGGAAACCCCAGCACCCAGUUCUCAAGAGCUACAUUUUCCCAAAAGGCAACAGGUCAUUUAGCUGGAUCAGCUCCGUUUCUUCUUCCUUCUUGAGCUCUUGUUGCAUUUCCAUCCUUUCUUCCCAUUUGCCGAGCUCAGCAUUUCUCUCUGCGGCUGCGUGUACUUAGCACCGACCUCUGACCGUCCUUUGAACCUUGGUUCCUUGACACCUUUGCUCAAGGAGUGCCUGAGCUCCGGAGUCUCUCUCUGUCAUCCUACCUGCUUCCAGGCUCCAAUUCAGAGACGUCUUCGGUUGGCGUUCACCCUCCAUCUCCUGACACGUUAUAGACUGGGCAUGUGUUUGCUUUGCGAUGGAUAUGUUUCUGAAUGAACAGUCUGAACGCUGGACACUGGUUAUUUCACCACUCACGUGCCACUUACCAACAUCACUGUGCUUAAAUGUCAGACCUUCCCAACGAGAGUGUAAGUUCCUGGGGAAAUAGAAGACAUAGCUCACUUUGGUGCCUCUUGGCAUGUGUGGCAGAGAUCUUUUCACAGAAGAAGACGUCAGUGAUUGUUGUUUGAGUGAAACGUAGGCAAAAGAUGAUAUUAGGGGACACUACAAAGACUCCGAACCGCAAAAAAUUACUCACAUUUUGAAGUAUACUCACAUUUGGAAAAGAGCACUGUAAGCAUAAAGAAAUCUCAAGUAAGCAGCGAUCUGAGAUCUCCCUAAAGAAGACACUGAGAAUGGAAUCUGAUUACGCUACUGAAUUCAAUAAGCAGUGCUCUAAAUUUUUCAAAGAGGAAAUCUUUGAAGUAUACCAAGAAAUGAUUCACGUAAAUGAGGAAAAGGCAAACUCAUAUCUAAAAGGUUAACAAUGUAUGCGUUUCAAUCCAAGAUGCAAGUUGUCCUUUGGGGAGAGGGAAUGAAACGAAGAAAAAUUUAAGUUACGGACUUUUAGAAGAAUUUCCUUUAAUUCCAAAGAGUCCCGCACAGAGGAAGCUUAAAACCUGCUGAAAGACUGCUCUGCAGUUCGAUUGGCUCCUGUGGCUGUGUUGAAUCUGGGGACAGUGGGGCCGGUGGUCCACACAGCCUGCAGUCAGUGUCCUGAUCUGGCCCAGAGACCCAUGCCUGCUGUACAAACCCUGACUCAUUCUCUGACCGUAGGGCUCGCGUUUCCACACCUCUCCCACGAGGAAAAGGAUGAGAAACGCACUUCUUAAAGAGCCACUAGAAAGCACCACAUUUGAAAUUUUCUAGGAACCACCUUUCCUCUCCACUGUCAUUGUCACUGCACUACCCUAAAUUCUUUGCAAUUCAUCAUCAGAUUAUUGCCGCGCCCUCCAGCAGGACUCCUCACUGCCAGCCCCUCCCUUAGCAAGUGUCCCUCCGCCACCGUGACGGACAGCUCCCUAAGUCAUGCAAUUCCAGGACAGGCCGGGUUCCCAGUCUCCUUUCUCUGGGCCACUAAGGUCUUGAGAAUCUGAUCAAAUCCUAAGUAGCCAACACAGUUGUCUUGCCAUUGAGCAGUUAAAUGUGUAAAAUAAUGUUUCCUUGAAUCAAAGGAAGAUAAUCUCGACUUUUCAGAUCUGCCUUCCAUGUCCAAAGGCUCUCACCAUAAUGCCAGGCCCAAAAUAGAUGUUCAAUACACACAGAGAUGAACUGAUUGAAUACCUGAAAGUAUUUUUUAAAAGUGCUUGUGAGGCACUGAUAAACUGAUGCAUGGAAUAUAAUGCUACCAUCUGACUCUCUUGUGUAAAUGUAAGUUCAAUAGUUCUAGGAAAGUACUAUCCAAACCACUGGGCUCUAAAACAUCCCCCAACAAGAUUCGCCACAUUUCAUCAUCUUUCUCAGACAGACUUCUAAAGGCGCUUCCGUAUUUAGAGGUGUUGAAUAUAUUUGAAUACCAAAAGCCUCAACCAGGGUUUAUUUGCCUUCUUAUAUGCACUUCAAUAAGACAGACCCAACAGCUGUCAAUUCAAGAGCAACAUCUGGAUCUCUCGUACCUGCCCAACAGAUGCACAGUGUUCUCCUCACGGAUUUUAAGACCGUACAUAAGCAAAAGGGAUCCAAAGCUAGCAAACCCUAUGCAAUGCAGAGUGAAAAACACAGCUCAUUUUGGCACCACUGAGAAGUGCGCAUGUUUUCAUCGUAGUUCCCAUUGCAAUAACCGGGAAGGUGGACUCUCAGAAGAGAGCUUGCACAUGCACCCUGCAUGUCUGUCUGCAGGACAGAUGAGUAGCUCCUUUUCAGCUUGGUGACCAAACCGAAUGGAUGCUGCGGUGGGUCACUCCUGAGUCACUUCCUAGGACUCCCCAGUUUGCUCUACCUGUGUCCAGCAAGGAGACCGCAUUCUUGGUCACUUAUUAUCAGACGACUCCCAAGGCAAAGAGCAAGAGAAACCGUGCAAUUCCUAAUAAGCUCAUCAUUAGCCACACGACUCCUGGUCCACUAUUGCCAGUUAAUGACCAAACCUCACAGUGUAGACAACUGACAUUUUGCCUGAGCAGCCGUCUCUGGCCAGUGAUAAUUAACCUGAAGGUAAAGAACCAGUCAUUUUCUUAAUACAACAAGGCACCCCUUUCAAAGUUGGGGCCCUUCCUGUUUUAAUAAUCAAAAGGAAAAGACCUUUGGUACUUAAUAUUUAAACAAAAUGUUUAAUAUUUACACAGUAAAGUUCUUCUUCUGAUAUUAAACCCGCAUUAAGGCAGGGAUGGAAAUUGGUUUAUAAUCUCUGACACUAGGCCUGGAGCCUUGUAGUGCAGUAAACAGCGUCACUGUCAGAGGAGCACCACCUGCAGUGGGCUCAGAAAUGUCAACUGUAAUUAAACAUUUUAUUUCCAG